rnacentral:lncRNA from 1 species
UUAUGGCAUCAAGUUCAACCCUCAUGGCAUCAUCGUGUCGCUGCAUUUCUCGCGACACGCUAAGAGCUGCCGCGUUUCUCAUCCAAAUCUCCGCGACCAUGUCCAAGUACCUGUCCAGCCACAUGAAGAAACGCCAGCCUUUCACCUGGCCAGGUAUACAUACAAAGUUCAGCAACUUGCUUGAACCAAACAUCAGGAAAACCAUACGAUGUAGUACUACUUGACACUUGACCCUGAACAGCAUGGAACAGAGGAACAACCUGCUGCAAGAUGUCACUCCUUGGGCAUUUCACUGAAAUUUUGCCUGGGUUCAGAGAUGUCAACGACAGCUGCUUCAAGAUCAAAUUUUCGCGUCCACAUUCUGCCCAUUCAGUCGGAUGGAGCCUCAUCAUUCCUUGGUGCACACCAUCCGGGGCCGAGGGUUUGCUUGUGAGACUGGCAGCAGGGCCGGUCCUAUCCUUCCAGAGGCCCAUGGGCAAACUAAAAAAAAGAGAACACCCCAUCUACUGUUAGUGGAGAUAAAAGAAUUUGUUUUCUUGCAUACAUGGGUACUUCAAAACUUCUACAAUUCGAUUUAAUCAUGGAACGAAAUAUGAAUAGAUUCCUUUUCACAGUUUGAGGGCUAAUGAUAUCAUUGAAAUAUCAUAGAUGGUACGAGUUUCAGCUACAGACUCUUGAUUCCAAAUCAAUGAAAAUAGGAGGUCUAAUGACAACAACAAAAAUGGGAACAAAUAACAUGCUAACUAAGCCCUGAAUAGAAGCAUCCUGACUGGUAUCGUUUUCCACAUCUAUGAUUAACCAGAUUGCUGUUUUCCGUUAUUGUGAACAUCUAAUUCCUCAGGAUUCUGAGCAGUGAGCACCAACAUUCCUAAACAUGAAACCAUCUACCUUUUCUGUUUCGUCUCCCUUUCUUCUUCACAACCAGAAGAUUAAGAGAUGCAGAGGCCCGGGGAAUUUCUCCUUUUCGAAAAAAAAAGGAAGAAGAUUCAGAGAUACCUAUUAUGAAAUCUGUGAGAGGGAGAUAGAAAUCCAGCCAUGAAAGCAUCCGGCUAUGAUCCUCACUCAUCGUCUCCUCAAAGCAGCACCUGCACACGGACACAUCGCACAAGCAGGAAAAAGACCAGUGAUUCAGAUGGGAAAGACAAGAAUAGACGACAGUGCAAUUGCCAAAGCGAGAAGGGUUUGAAAAUUACACAAAUCCUUUGAAACAUGGAACCAGCAGCCUAGAAUUCGCUUUGGGGUAAAUCUGCAACUCUUGUCCCGCUCAUAGUCGGAUGGUAAGUAUUUA